CUCUCUUUUUUUCCCCCAAGGGUGUUUUUCUCUUUUCUCUGUGUGUGGUUUGUGUGGGUGUGAGCAAGCCUGAUGGGAGACACCUGGGGAUGGAUUUGAUCAUCUUUCUCAGGAGUGAUCCUGCACUAUUAAAGUCAAGGAGAGUUUUGCUAUUGACUUCAAUGAGAAGAGAAACAGAAAAAGGUUGAUGGAAGAGUCCAGCCCAACUGGAACUUGAGCAGGAAUAUAUAUCUGAAGACGUCUCUGAAACAAAAUGUUCAGAAUUCUGCCAUGCAAAUGAAAGCUGACAAAUCUGCCUACAUUAAUCGUAUUAAUCAAUGAGUUGCUUGUGUGCACUAUACUCAUAUUUGGUAUGUAUAAGCUUCUCAUUGUGAAAUGAGAAACUAAGGCUAUGUUCAUACUAGAAACCUUACAUCUGCACCGCUGUAAGAUCUCCUGUGUGGCCACUCUAAGCCAACGGGAGAUAGCUCUCCCGCCAGCAUAAUUAAACCACCCCCAACAAGCGGCUGUAGCUAUGUCAUUGGGAAAGCGUCUCCUGCGGACAUAGCACUGUCCACGCUGGUGUUUCUGUCAGUGUAACUUAUGUCACUCAAGGCUGUGGUUUUUUUCACACCCCAAGCAACAUAAGUUGUACAGACAAAAGUGCCAGUGUAGACGUAGCGUAAAGCAAAAUUCAGCUAAUUAAAUCAAAUGCAGAAGAUGUUCCUUGCUCUACUGGUUGAGGAGUAAAGGGGGCAUCCCACACAACUGAGUUCUCUUUGGCUAUUUUAAACAUAUAAUUUAUAUUUUAGCAGCUAUUACCAGAAUGAUUCAUUAUUGAUAAAUAAUUGACAAAAUACAAGUACGAUUGAAAAAUAAGAUCAAAAUAAACAUAACAUAUACAUGUGGAUAAAAAAUUUUGAGAGGGCUCAAAGGAUGCCAGACCUCCACUCCAUUUACUUCUUCCUCUUUUCCCCUCCCCUCUGGUCCCUUGCUUCCCUCCUCUCCCUAUUCAUGUAUGUCUUUUCCUAUUUUAUUGCUGUUACU